rnacentral:rRNA from 1 species
GUGGGGAAUCUUGCGCAAUGGGCGAAAGCCUGACGCAGCCAUGCCGCGUGAAUGAUGAAGGUCUUAGGAUUGUAAAAUUCUUUCACCGGGGACGAUAAUGACGGUACCCGGAGAAGAAGCUCCGGCUAACUUCGUGCCAGCAGCCGCGGUAAUACGAAGGGGGCUAGCGUUGCUCGGAAUUACUGGGCGUAAAGGGCGCGUAGGCGGACAGCUUAGUCAGAGGUGAAAGCCCAGGGCUCAACCUUGGAAUUGCCUUUGAUACUGGCUGUCUUGAGUUUGGGAGGGGUGAGUGGAACUCCGAGUGUAGAGGUGAAAUUCGUAGAUAUUCGGAAGAACACCAGUGGCGAAGGCGACUCACUGGCCCAAUACUGACGCUGAGGCGCGAAAGCGUGGGGAGCAAACAGGAUUAGAUACCCUGGUAGUCC